GCUGUGGAACUCCUACGGGAGGCAGCAGUGGGGAAUAUUGCACAAUGGGGGAAACCCUGAUGCAGCGACGCAGCGUGCGGGAUGACGGCCUUCGGGUUGUAAACCGCUUUCAGCAGGGAAGAAGCGCAAGUGACGGUACCUGCAGAAGAAGUACCGGCUAACUACGUGCCAGCAGCCGCGGUAAUACGUAGGGUACGAGCGUUGUCCGGAAUUAUUGGGCGCGAAGAGCUCGUAGGUGGUUGGUCACGUCUGCUGUGGAAACGCAACGCUUAACGUUGCGCGUGCAGUGGGUACGGGCUGACUAGAGUGCAGUAGGGGAGUCUGGAAUUCCUGGUGUAGCGGUGAAAUGCGCAGAUAUCAGGAGGAACACCGGGGGCGAAGGCGGGACUCUGGGCUGUAACUGACACUGAGGAGCGAAAGCAUGGGGAGCGAACAGGAUUAGAUACCCCGGUAGUCCUACCACGU
rnacentral:rRNA from 1 species